UUCUGGCUCAGUAGGUAGAGUGCUUGCCUUGCAUACACAAGGCCCUGGGUUCAAACCCAGCAAAAA
rnacentral:tRNA from 1 species